UACGUAGGGGGCAAGCGUUGUCCGGAUUUAUUGGGCGUAAAGAGCGUGUAGGCGGCCAGAUAGGUCCGUUGUGAAAACUGGAGGCUUAACCUUCAGACGUCGAUGGAAACCGUCUGGCUAGAGUCCGGAAGAGGAGAGUGGAAUUCCUGGUGUAGCGGUGAAAUGCGCAGAUAUCAGGAAGAACACCCGUGGCUAAGGCGGCUCUCUAGUACGGUACUGACGCUGAGACGCGAAAGCGUGGGGAGCGAACAGG
rnacentral:rRNA from 1 species